rnacentral:rRNA from 1 species
CCUACGGGAGGCAGCAGUGAGGAAUAUUGGUCAAUGGGCGGAAGCCUGAACCAGCCAAGUAGCGUGCAGGAUGACGGCCCUACGGGUUGUAAACUGCUUUUAUACGGGAAUAACGCGCCUUACGUGUAGGGCUUUGCAUGUACCGUAUGAAUAAGGACCGGCUAAUUCCGUGCCAGCAGCCGCGGUAAUACGGAAGGUCCGGGUGUUAUCCGGUUUUAUUGGGUUUAAAGGGAGCGUAGGCCGCAUGUCAAGCGUGCUGUGAAAUGUCCGGGCUCAACCCGGGCCUUGCAGCGCGAACUGGUGUGCUUGAGUCGGCGGAAAGCAGGCGGAAUUCGUCGUGUAGCGGUGAAAUGCUGAGAUAUGACGAAGAACCCCGAUUGCGAAGGCAGCUUGCUGCAGCGGAACUGACGCUGAUGCUCGAAAGCGCGGGUAUCGAACAGGAUUAGAUACCCCAGUAGUC